rnacentral:rRNA from 1 species
AUUGAACGCUGGCGGCAGGCCUAACACAUGCAAGUCGAGCGGAUGAUGGGAGCUUGCUCCUUGAUUCAGCGGCGGACGGGUGAGUAAUGCCUAGGAAUCUGCCUGGUAGUGGGGGACAACGUUUCGAAAGGAACGCUAAUACCGCAUACGUCCUACGGGAGAAAGCAGGGGACCUUCGGGCCUUGCGCUAUCAGAUGAGCCUAGGUCGGAUUAGCUAGUUGGUGGGGUAAUGGCUCACCAAGGCGACGAUCCGUAACUGGUCUGAGAGGAUGAUCAGUCACACUGGAACUGAGACAAGGUGCAGACUUCUACGGGAGGCAUCAGUGGGGAAUAUUGGACAAUGGACGAAAGCCUGAUCCAGCCAUGCCGCGUGUGUGAAGAAGGUCUUCGGAUUGUAAAGCACUUUAAGUUGGGAGGAAGGGCAGUAAGCUAAUACCUUGCUGUUUUGACGUUACCGACAGAAUAAGCACCGGCUAACUCUGUGCCAGCCGCCGCAGUAAAAC